rnacentral:rRNA from 1 species
AACGAACGCUGGCGGCAUGCCUAACACAUGCAAGUCGAACGAGACCUUCGGGUCUAGUGGCGCACCGCUGCGUAACACGUGGGAACCUACCCUUAGGUUACGUAUCACUCACCGAAAGGGGUGCUCAUACAACUUAAUGUCAUAGCACCUAAGAUUUAUCGCCUUUGGAUGGGCCCGCGUUGGAUUAGGCAGUUGGUAGGGUAAAAGCCUACCAAGGCGACGAUCCAUAGCUGGUCUGAGAGGAUGAUCAGCCACACUGGGACUGAGACACGGCCCAGACCGCGACGGGAGGCAGCAGUGGGGAAUAUUGUACGAGGGGCGAAGGCCUGAUCCAGCCACGCGGCGUGAGUGAGGAAUGCGUUAGUGUUGUAAUGCUGUUUUACCCGGGAUGAGAAUGACAGUAAUGGGUGAAGAAGCACCGGCUAACUCCGUG